GUGAAUGCUAUUAAUUUAUUGAAUAGCCAGUAGCUUUAAAGUUUCAAGAGAUGAUAGUGCUGACCAUAUACUAAAUGCUUAUAUAGCAAGCAUUGUGAUGAACACUGUUGGUGCACUACACAUUUAAUAUUUAUAAGUCUUAUAAGGUAGAUAUCAUUAUCAUCAUCAUCUCUUUUUUUUUUUUUUUUCUGUCUUUUUCAUUUUUAUCAGUACCAGGGAUCGAACUCACGACUGCCUGCUUGCAAGGCAGGCGUUAUGCCGCUGAGCUAAAUCCCCAUCCCCCAUGUCUUUUAACAAAUGAAAAUAAUGCAGUUUGGAAAGAUCAUGUAUGUAGCUUGUCCAAGGCCUCACAAUUAACAAAGUGCUAGAACCAAGAUUCAAUUCCAAGCAGUCUCAAGCAGUCCUCUCAAGUGCUGUAGAACAAUACCCCCAUUCUUACAAUCUUGCCCAUAGUUUUCAGCUUCUCACAUUUUUGAUCAUCUGCUCUCUGAAGACCCAUGCUACUUUACUAUCCUAUGACCAUCUAGUCCUACAGCUGAAAACCCAUUAAUCUGAAGGAUAGAAGUCUUAAAAACAAUAUUCAUAAUAUGUUUUAAAAGGAUACUAUUUUUACCUUAGCAUUUCAUUUAAAACUAAAACUCCAAAUCUUGUUUUGGCACAGGUUGGGUGGAGUGGGAACCUUUAAACUCUUUGGCUCCAGCAGACUAAUCUCCUUUCACAGACUACCAAGUAUUUCUGUUUUCUGACAGAUUGUCUCUUACCGUUUUAGGCACAUGGCUGCUGCUUAGAAGUUCUCCACACCUUUGUUUCCUGGAAGAGGAAAUGGCAUUUCCGGGAGAGGAUGAUAUGUGGGUGAUGAGGUUCUACUCAUAGCGUUAAAAACAUCUUAACUUUCAGUUGUGCACUUCUUUUCCCUCCUUCGGUGUCUGCCUAAGGUUUCCUGGAAUCCUGCUGACUAGAGACUAUGGAGCAACUUCUUUGUUCAGUUCACUUCGGCUGGGAAAUACCUGAUUCCUGCCUGGGAUCCAGUGGAUCGCCUGAGAGCUAAGAAAUAAGCAAUUUCCAUGCAUCUUGUCAUUCAAGCUAUUAAUUCACACAUGGAGGCAAACAGUUUGGACUGUUUUAAGAGGAAUUUGCCUUGCUGGCUGUGCAUUUCUUCCAAAGCCUGGCAGAGAUCACUUCUGAAGUGACCCUGAGUCCUUUGAAGAAUCAGUGUGGAACUGAAGGACCGUGAUCUACCUUCACCAAGUAACACGCCGUCUAGUGCAAAUGUACUCAGAAAAUGUCAACGUUAUUCUAGGAGCUUUGGAUUAUGCUGACAGAGACAACAACAAAAAUAAGCAUUUUAAAGUCACAGCUUGGACAAGGGAAAGGGAGGUGGCUGUUUUUUCCCUUUAACCUAACCUUAGUGUUUCAAGUGAAAAUUGUUAUUGCCAAAAGAGAGAUUUAGAGCUAGAAGCAAAAAUUUUCCUUCCUGUCGGGGAGUAAGUAAACCUCUAUUGCUACUGAUAGUAAGACAGAUAUCAAUGCUUGUAAACCACGAAGGAAAACAGUGAAAGGAGAACGUGAUUCUUAACCUGAGGUAAAAAGGAACAUGCUCAUAAUCUCAUGAUUUGAAAUAUUUGGUACAUAUGCUUAGUAAUUUUAAACUUCUUUAUAAUCUUAGACAAGACAAAGGAGGUAGGUAUUAUAUAUUCACUUAAAGACACAUUGUGAUGAUGAUGAUGAAGAAUAAAUAUUCACUAGUUUUUAUUGUGCUUUACAUGUGCCAGCACAGGCUGAAGUACUUUAUUUUAUAUGCUUCAUUUGAUUCUUGCAACACAUCCAUUGAGAAAAGUAGUAUCUUUUUCAUUUCAUAGCUGAGCUGUAAAGAUGACUCCCCACAUUCAUUUAACAAAUGAGUUCUAGGAUGUGGGUUAUGCCUCAAUCAAUCGAUCCUGAGUUCAUGAUUUUUGCAUCAUACAGAGUCAAACUUGAAAUAAUGAAAGGAUUGUGUACGUUAAUAGGCCUCCUGAGUAAUAAUAUAUACUGAAAACAAAGAAAUGCCUAUGUAUAUGUAGGGCCAAUGUGUAAAUUAUGGUGUGUCACAAUGUUCACUUAAUAAAAACUGCAGAAAAAGAAAAAAA